rnacentral:misc_RNA from 1 species
UUCACUCUGUUCUUUCCCCAAUUUCUAAGAUAUUCCGAAGCAUUGUUAUCAAAGACGUGUUGACGCAAAAGUGGCAUAUGGGUAUGGGUGGUUUCCCCCAGUUUCAAGAUAUUCAGUAGCAUAUUUUAUCAUUAAGGUGAAAUUGGCACCUGGAGCUGGAGAAUUGGCAAAAGGUGCAAGAACGCGCAUAAGGGAAGGAUGCAUUUAUUAAAAGAUGUACAGAAAUAAGAUAAUAUCUUUGAUGUGUAAUUGCUAAAAAUUAAGUGCUAAAGACAUAAAAGAAAACAUGGUAGAGCAGUGCAAAGAAGAGAAUUAAAUAUGCAUGUUCAAUAUGAUCUAUAGGAGUGAAAGAGUGUAAAGAAAAUGAUAACCACCCACCAAUAAAUUUAGGUUGACAAAAAAUUCAAGAUCAAAAUUAGCUAAAUUUUGAGUUCACUUAAACUACAUCAGCACUCCAAAAGGGAUGGUGAGAACUAUGUCAUUAUUGGUCUUGAGAAAACUGCUAACAAUUUUAUGGCAGUAAUUGUUAGUACUUAGUACUAUAGCAUCUUUGGUGAUAUCAGAAAUGGUAAACGAUCUGAUUCAAGGUGACAAUCUACACAAAGUAUGUCCAGAUCACAAAUUCAUAAUUGUAUUAUAAAAGCUAGUUUAUGACCCAAAACUCAACCUAAACAGCAUAUAUAUUCCUUUAAAGUUUGCCAAGUGCUGACAUAAUGUUGAAAACUGCAAUGAGCUAAAGGAAGCAACACUUGUUUUUGCAUGCAUGGGGAGCUGAAAUAUGGAUGUUAUAUGUCAAAAUGAGGGCCCUUCAAUUGUCGUUUGUCUCGUACAGGGCAGCAACUCUUUUUUAGAAUAUCCUAAUCACUUCAAGCG